UACGGAGGAGGCAAGCGUUAUCCGGAAUUAUUGGACGGAAAGCGUCCGUAGGUGGUUGGCCAAGUCUGCUGUCAAAGGGUGGGGCUUAACCUCAUAAAGGCAGUGGAAACUGGCGAGCUAGAGUGCGGUAGGGGUAGGGGGAAUUCCCAGUGUAGCGGUGAAAUGCGUAGAGAUUGGGAAGAACAUCGGUGGCGAAAGCGCCCUGCUGGGCCUGCACUGACACUGAGGCACGAAAGCUAGGGGAGCGAAAGGG
rnacentral:rRNA from 1 species